UUCACUUAUUCCUCUUAUGAUAAAAGCUGAGAAACAUAUUUAUCGCGUAAAUUGUAGAUACGCCCAUAUUGUUUCUGGCUACCCUGUCGGAAAAAUAUUCGGAUAUUCCUUUUAUCAUAACAGCUAAGCAAUACAUUUAUUACGAGUAUUAUUUGUAUGAAACAUUUUUCCAUUAGAUAUACUGACAUAUUGCGUUUAUCUCAUGAAGUCUACAUAAAAUCGGCAACUUUAUAAUUUCAAAAAGUUAUUUUGUUGAUCGUAAUAACCAUUUUUACUA